UACGUAGGUGGCAAGCGUUGUCCGGAAUUAUUGGGCGUAAAGCGCGCGCAGGCGGUCCUUUAAGUCUGAUGUGAAAGCCCACGGCUCAACCGUGGAGGGUCAUUGGAAACUGGAGGACUUGAGUACAGAAGGGGAAAGCGGAAUUCCACGUGUAGCGGUGAAAUGCGUAGAGAUGUGGAGGAACACCGGUGGCGAAGGCGGCAUCCUGGACCGGCAUUGACGCUGAGGCGCGAAAGCCAGGGGAGCAAACGGG
rnacentral:rRNA from 1 species